GACGAACGCUGGCGGCGUGCUUAACACAUGCAAGUCGAACGGAAAGGCCCUGCUUUUGUGGGGUGCUCGAGUGGCGAACGGGUGAGUAACACGUGAGUAACCUGCCCUUGACUUUGGGAUAACUUCAGGAAACUGGGGCUAAUACCGGAUAGGAGCUCCUGCUGCAUGGUGGGGGUCGGAAAGUUUCGGCGGUUGGGGAUGGACUCGCGGCUUAUCAGCUUGUUGGUGGGGUAGUGGCUUACCAAGGCUUUGACGGGUAGCCGGCCUGAGAGGGUGACCGGCCACAUUGGGACUGAGAGACGGCCCAGACUCCUACGGGAGGCAGCAGUGGGGAAUAUUGCACAAUGGGCGGAAGCCUGAUGCAGCAACGCCGCGUGCGGGAUGACGGCCUUCGGGUUGUAAACCGCUUUCGCCUGUGACGAAGCGUGAGUGACGGUAAUGGGUAAAGAAGCACCGGCUAACUACGUG
rnacentral:rRNA from 1 species